UAAAGGCAAAAACAGCAACCUCAUAAGUUGUAAGAUGUGGGUUCGAGUCCCACUG
rnacentral:tRNA from 1 species